GUUCACUUCAGUGGUCUGUAUACUAAAAUUGGAACAACACCGAGAAGAUUAACAAGGCUGCUGAGCAAAGAUGAUACACAAUUUAGUGAAGCAUUCUAUAUUUUU
ensembl:snRNA LOC120093298 U6 spliceosomal RNA